CGGAGUGCAGACCCCCGGGUCUCGGGUGCAGUGAGGACGGGCUCCCUCCGCCAUGGGUGCCGCCCGCUCCAGUCCCCAGGGACCCUGCUCCUUCCGCUUCCCAGCUGGACUGGGCGAGGUAUCCGCCUGGAGGGGAUCCAGGUGCUGCACAUCCUGGGUGGCCGUGGUGGGACGAGAACGCCAUGGCCCCGGCCCCCUGGAGACCACGCCAUCACGGGGCACUGUCACGGACUGAAGGCCUCAGCUGCAGCUCUUGGCCACUGGGCCCCCGUGUGGACACUGUCUCUGAUCAGGCCCAGCUGCGUGGCGGUCACUUGGCCAGGAGUGGUCUCUGCAGGCGACACAGCGGGAGCAGGACAGGCCACUCACAGCCAGCCAGGAACUGUGGGACGGAAUCUCAGGCCUCAUACCCGCCCCAGGCAGGCACGGCCCCUGGGCCCUCAGCCCUGUCCGACGCCCCGGGGAUGUAUGGUAACGUCCGACCUGCAGCGGCCGUACUCCUCCGCAGGCUGAGUUAUGGCUGGCACCGCGCGGCUCCUGGGCUAAUUUGAAUUCAGAUGAGCUGACGCCGUGUUCCCGAGCAGGCGGCUGGCCGCUGACGGAUGGCACUUGGGUUACUGCAAGGUCACCGUGCAGCCGCCACCCACCGCAGGAGGGGCCAGCUAGGUGGCCGGGGAAGGUGGGCAGCUCCGAAGCAGGUGGCUGGGUGGGCUCCCAAGAACUGUCCAGCCGGUGGCCAUCUGGUGGAAGCACGGGCGAGCCCUGGGGCCUGUGGCCAAGCCUCACAGCCACUGUCCCUGGGGGCUUGGAAAUCCACCUCUGCUUGAGGCCACCACAGCCUCCUCUGCUGGGGCCACAGUGGGGGCAGGGCAGGGGCGGUGGCAGGAGCCUGGCCUCUUCGUGGGGAAGGCGCUGACCAGGACGGAGUGCUGCCUUUCACCCAGGGGGAGCUUGGGCCCGCCUCAGGAUCCACCUGCAGCUGGACGUAGCCUCCUCUACAGCCGAUGUCCCUGUCCUGGGGCCGGCACGCCAGGGCCCUGGCCAUGGGCCGUCAGAGGGCUGGGCCUGCUGUACUCUCUGCUGUUCAGCAUGGUCACUGGAUGCUAGGCUGGUGGCCACAGCGGGAGGCAUGAAGCUUCAGGCGCUGCUCUCAGCUGCGUGAUGUGGGGGUGGCUUCUUCGCCUGUGCCUCGGUUUCCCUAUGCACAAGACAGCGAUUCCUUGGUGCCUCCACCUGUGGUUUAGGGAGGGACACGCAGGCCAGCCCAGGCAAAUCGUGCAGUUUGUGCUGCGCACGUGCGUGUGGCCUCUCCUUCCCCCGGUGCUGCCCAGCCCCAGAGAGAGGCAGCAGGGUGGCUGCUGCUGGCCUCGGGCCUGGUGGGGGCUUCGGGAGACCCUUGGAGGGCUUGGAAAUGUGGCCCCUGAGUGUGAGGGUGGCAGAGAUGGCUGCAGGCAGGACUGGACUCCAGCCUGGGCCAAGCCGAACAGCUGCUGCUUCUGACCUCCCUACCCGCAGGAGCCAGCCCAGAGAGAGGCCUGCCCUCCCCUCGAC
rnacentral:lncRNA from 13 species